GUCUACAGCCAUACCACACUGAACACGCCCUAUCUUGUCUGAUUUUGGAAGCUAAGCAGGGUACGGUCUGGUAAGUAUUUGGAUGGGAGACCACCUGGGAAUACUGGUCGCUGUAGGUG
rnacentral:rRNA from 1 species